rnacentral:rRNA from 1 species
CGGGGUGCAGCAGGCGCGAAAACUUUACAAUGCCGGCAACGGCGAUAAGGGGACCUCGAGUGCCAGGUUACAAAUCUGGCUGUCGUGAUGCCUAAAAAGCAUUGCAUAGCAAGGGCCGGGCAAGACCGGUGCCAGCCGCCGCGGUAACACCGGCGGCUCGAGUGGUAACCGUUAUUAUUGGGUCUAAAGGGUCUGUAGCCGGCCGGAUAAGUCUCUUGGGAAAUCUGGCAGCUUAACUGUCAGGCUUUCAGGAGAUACUGUCUGGCUCGAGGCCGGGAGAGGUGAGAGGUACUUCAGGGGUAGGGGUGAAAUCUUGUAAUCCUUGAAGGACCACCAGUGGCGAAGGUGUCUCACCAGAACGGACCUGACGGCAAGGGACGAAAGCUAGGGGCACGAACCGGAUUAGAUACCCGGGUAGUCCCAGCCGUAAACGAUACUCGCUAGGUGUCGGCCACGGUGCGACCGUGGUCGGUGCCUUAGGGAAGCCGUGAAGCGAGCCACCUGGGAAGUACGGCCGCAAGGCUGAAACUUAAAGGAAUUGGCG